UCGGAUUGUAGGCUGCAACCGCCUACAUGAAGUUGGAAUUGCUAGUAAUCGCAGAUCAGAAUGCUGCGGUGAAUACGUUCCCGGGCCUUGUACACACCGCCCGUCACACCAUGGGAGCCGGUAAUACCCGAAGUCAGUAGUCUAACCGCAAGGGGACGCUGCCGAAGGUAGGAUUGGCGACUGGGGUGAAGUCGUAACAAGGUAGC
rnacentral:rRNA from 1 species